rnacentral:lncRNA from 1 species
GUCCCAAAUGUAAAUCUGACAUAUUCCUCCGUCUUCCCUAUAUUCACAAAUCAUAACGCAUACAUUGCGAUCAUAAUGUUAACAAGAAUAUGGCUACAUAUUCUUAACAACAAUUAGUUGACACCAUGAACCUUAAAUAUUGAAUAAAAAGAAAGGAGCUACAGUCUACAGAGCUGAAAACAUUACACUGUUGGAAAUAGGACUGUAGGUGAAAAGGAAAUAGUUAUAAGUUCUGGUCAGACUCAGAUUGAUGAAAAUCAGAAAAUUGAUGUUGUUGUUGUUGUUGUGCUGCCUGUGUUUUCUCAAGAAAGGGCUUGAAAAUAAGCUGCAAAUUGAGAUACCCAAAUGCUACAGCCCCAAUUACCACUAACCCGGAUCUAAAUGCUUUCAUUUUUGUUGUAUCCCUCAUUCUUCCGAAACUACUCCUUCUACCGCUCCUUUCACUCUUCUCCUUCUCCUUCUCCUUCUCCUUUGCCAAAAGAGCUGAUUCUUGAUUUUGAGUUUUGCUGUUUUUGUUUCUUAAACCCCUAUUUUCUUUUCUUUUCUUUUCUUUUCUUUACUAAUAUUACUCAACGACCUAUGAAAGUUUGGGAAAUAAUACUUUAGGCAUAUAAUAUUGGGAAGUCUUAUGUAGAUAAGGACAAACGUAUAAAAUUAGAUAAAAAUGAAGAGAAAAAAAAACGAGUGUGUUUGGUAUGAAGGAAAAUAUGUUCUGAACAAUGUUUUUCAAUUUUUUCACGUUGGUUAGCUUAAAUGUUUUGAAAAAUACUUUUCAAAUCAACUUAUUUUUCUCAAAUUUAAGAAAAAUAGUUUUCCUUUAAAAAGUAAAGAAUACAUUUUCUAAAACUCUCUUUCAACCUAACUCUCAAGUUAAAAUGUUCAUACAACUUUCAAAAUUAUUCACCUCUAUCCCGACCCCGAAUUUCCUACCACCCCCAACCAUUUUUUUAUUUUUUUAAAAGAUAUUUCAAAUUUUUUUUCUUACCUCAUCCCCUCCAAAAAGAAGAUUUAAUUUUUUAAAAAAAAAGUCAAACUUUUUCUUCUCCCACUUCUUAUCUAACCCCCACCCAACCCCCCCACACAAAAAAUUGUUUUUAAAAUUUCUGAUUUUUUCUUAUCCCACUGAAACACCCUGGGUUUCUGGCUCUUAGAAAAUUUUCUGGAUUUUCGAUCUCUGGACAGGAUACCACUAGGGGAAAUGACUCGUACACUGGGAUACGAGUGGUAUGGGUUAGUCGUAUGCUGACCACUGUUGGUUAGUGAGUUGGAUUUGGUUUCUAGAAUGGGUACGAGUCAUAUCGGUGAAUAGGGUUGUUUGGUUACUUCAGUUAAUCUUAGACCUGGUAACUUAAGUUGGAUCUGAGUACAAGUGGAUCACCAAGAGCCGUAAGUCAAGGUACGAGUUGUACCAUGGACUCGUAUGGUGGUUAGUGUUUAAUCCUCCUGGGAUUCUAUUUGUUAGGGGUACGAAUCAUGGGUACUAGUCGUAUACUUGGAUACGACAUGGGUUGGGGUGAGUCGUACCUUGAAAAUUGUUGGGUCCAAGAGAGAUGGUCUUAGGUUCGAGUGGUGGGUACCACUCGUAUUGGAGGGUACGAAUGGCGUGGAUAGUCAUACCCACCCGCCGGGAUUUGGGGGAAUUUAAAUGAGGGUAAUUUAGAUAUUUUUCCACUUAAUCUAAUAAGGCCCCACGACUUAUAUUUCUAUUGGGAGGUUAUUUUCCCUAUUAUUCUAUUCAUUAACACUUAGAAACUUCUCUUAAACACUCUACAAUUCUCUCUAAGGCUUUUGGGUAAAGGAGGGUUAGGGUUUCAUCUUAAGGAUUAAUUUGGGGCUUGUGUUGGUGAUUUAUCUCCAUCAUUUUCUUUCUUUAAGGCAUGUUCUCUUGCCUCAUUGUUAGUUUCAAAUAAAGGCAUGGUUUUAUACAAUGUUUUCAUGGUUUGAUUAUUGUAUGAUUUUGAAUUUUCAAAUAUAAUUUGGGGGUUUUGGUAAUGAAUGCUUGGUUAUGAUUUUUCCAUAUUUUAAUUACGCUUUUAUAUGCUUUAAUGGUGGUUUUUAUGGUUUGAUUAUUGUAUGAUUUUGGAUUUUCAAAUAUAAUUUGGGGGUUUUGGUUAUAAAUGCUUAGUUAUGAUUUUUUCGUGUUUUAAUUACGCUUUUAUAUGCUUUAAUGGUGGUUUUGGAUAAUUGGUUGCAUGGGAAUGAUUAUUUGGUAAUUGACUUUGGUUUUGGAAAUACUAUACCCCCAAUAUGUUUGAUAAAAUGCAUAUGAGAAUAUUUACACUACAUUAUUGGAUUUAGCGGAACUAUUGCACGAUUUAAACUUGGUAAUGGUACCAUAAAUGGUUAAAUGGUUUGGAAUGGUCAAAAUAGAAUGGUUUUGGUUUAACAAUCAUUCUUGUGGGGUAUAAUGGAAUCUCCCAAGUAAUCAUAAUAAUGAAACACUUGCAGGGUACAUGGGACUACCCCAAGUUAAUUGGUAAUGUGAUCUAUAGGUACAUGGGACUCCCUUGAUCUCAAAAAGAUUUGGCUAAGGAUAAUACUUGCAGGUUAUAAUUGGUAUGAUGAUACCACUAUGUAUAGCCUUGGUUAAUAACAAUAGUUUGGUUGGUUGGAAAUGAUUUUAAUUGGGCAAUAAUGGAGGAGUGUGAUAGCUAACCAUGAAAGUGGGAGUUCAAUGAAUGAACACUGGAAACUCAUGAUUGUCGUCAUGAGAGGUAGGGUGGCGACCCUUUUAUGAUACUAUGAGGUACGGGGGAAUCCUCUAAGUACAUUGUACAUGUGUAUUAUGGAGAGUAAGGAUACUUGGGAAUCCCUUACUCCUAUGGUAUCUCUGGUUCGUACAGCUACACGCAUCGAGGCCCGUUCAAGGAUUUACACUAGACCCAUAUAGUCCAUGGGGGGUCAAGGACAGUUAAGCUACACAUACCUAGGUUAAUGAUUUUAAAUGCAUGCUAAACCCGAUUCCCUUUUCUGGCAUAGUUAUAUAUAUACAUGUAUCAUUUGUAUGCAUAUGGUUGGUUUACUUGGUUUUACUGGUUGACAUUAUUUUAUCUUUACCUUGAGUUCAUGCUAGCGUUCACCCGCUAACCCAUUUUCGGGCGGUUGUAUCCCCAUACAAUGCAGGAACCAACCAUUCUACUCCUCAUAUUUAGCUAUCGGAUAUUCGGGAUCAUCUACUGGAUUGAAGUAAUGAGCUUUCAUCUUUUUGGAAGGCUCUAUUUCAUGGAUUUUAUUUCAUACUUCGAUUCAUUUAUGGAUAUUGGUUUUGUCUAUGGUUGGGGACAUGUCCCAACCGAAUUUGGGUAUUAUUUUGGUUAGAAGCUUUUAUGGAACUACUAUGGGUUGGUAAAGGUGGGAUCAGUAUUGGUGUUGCCUUGGUUUUGGGCCUGAUACCGAAGGACUAAAUUUCUCACUGUUCCAUCCUCUUUUAUUUUGGGAUUAUAUUUAAUUAUUAUGGAACUCAUAUGGUUAUGAUUCGUGGUUUGGUUUGGCUACUAGUUGGGUUCAGACGGUUGAACUCGGUUGGGUCGAUUUUGGUAAUAGACCUAUCUAGAGUCUGUAAUUUGGAUACUUAUGUUAUCUUGUUAUAUGCUCGAAAUUCAGCCAACUCAAGGCAGACGACUGUAGGUUGGGUUGGGUAACGGGGGUGGUCUCCGGUCCUGAUCGGACUUGGAUGCCUAUUACGAUAAGGCCUCGGGUCGGGUCGUAUCAAUUUGGUAUUAGAGCUUUAGGUUUAUGGUCAAUUGAGAGUCCACAAAUUCCUGUUAGUAGAGUCUCUUUUAGGGGUGUGUAGCACGUCACACUCAUAAGAGAGAGGCUAAAAAACAUUUAGGAAUGCUUCACUUUCUUGGUAUUCUGUUUUCGAGCUUGGAGUCUAAGUCCUGAAAUUUCCUUUAAUCCUUGUUUGUUCGAUUUUCAGAUUAUGCCUUGAUAAUUUAGAGCACAAGGAAAUCCUUUUGUCCCAUCUGGGGAUGAUGUUGAUGGAGAACGCCCUACACCUGGAGUUCGCACUCGAUCUUAGGGUCCUAUCCCUGAUUGUUCUAGAGUUCUUUCGAUUGCUACUAGUCUUUCUCAAGGUAAGGUGACUAAUCCAGAAUUUAGUCAGUCGAUUCAUACAAUUACUCAGUUGGUUGUUGCUCAAGUUGAGCGGGAUGCAUCUGGUGUUCUAUCUGUUGAGGCCACAAGGGUUGGCCAGUUCAUGAAGAUGAAUCCUCCUACUUUUACUAGUGUGAAGGUGCAGGAGGAUCCUUAGGGUUUCUUGGAUGAAAUAGAGAAGAUAUUUAGAGUGUUGCAUGUUUUAUCCCGAGGGUUGGCAAACAUUAAUUUCAACUUUAUAAACUAUUUUGAAACUUUAAAGAAAAUUUUGAAACAACCUAAAAAAUUACAGAGUCGCCACUUAAUUUAUUUGAAAAGAAAUUAAGAAAACUUUUUAAAAUAAAAUCCUAAGUCUCAAAAUAGAAAAAUACUUAGGCCUUUAAGAAAAUCCCCAGUAAGAGGUUCUUAUUAACAUUUUAAGAAGAUUUUUAAGGCACCUGAAAUUUUAGCUAACUAGCGAUUAUCCUGGCUAUUUGAAAACCACUUUGACUAACUUUGAAAAAAGUGAGGUUGGUCUUUGAAAAGAAAGUGAUUUAGGACAAAACUUGUAUAAAAUCAUUUUUUGAUGACUCAGUAGGAAAUUUAACCAAGUCUAAGAAAAUAAAGAGCAAAUAAGCACAUAAAGAGAAAAGGGGGAAUUAGAAGACUUGGGCUCGUAAGCCCAAAUCCAUCAACCAUGUCCUAAUCUAAUUGGGAUUUUGGCCCACCUGUACCUGUCCUAAUAUAAAUAUCGGGUUUUGGCCCAUAAACUGUUCUAAACUAUUUUUCCGAAUCCAUUGGCCUAGAAUCAGCUUCACCUAUAUUAAAAUAUAACUUUGGCUUUGAGGCCCCAAAUGAAUGAAUAAAUGAAUAAAUAAAAAGAAGACAAUAAUAAAAAUUGAGACUUUUCAAGUCUCUUAGUGACCUCAUCAAUGGGUUUUGACUCAUUUUCCUUCUUUGUCUAUCUUCUAGCACCCGCAUGCCAUAUAGUCGACCUUGGAUUUAAACUUCGAACUUCACUCGAAGAGGUGAGCUUCAUUGGCCUAUUACGAAAUGCAAGAGAAGAGGAGUCCAUUUGGACUCGACACAUUUUUUACAUGUAAAAAAAAAUAAAGAAAUUAAUAUACGUUCAAGGCAUAAAAGUGACAUAGUUCAAAGCAAAAGAAAAUAUCAAGAACCAAUUUUUGGAUGACAAUGAUAAGCACACUUGCGCACAUAUAACAAGAAUGAGAGUCAACAGAUAAAUACAAAAUAAAGACACCCACUUACAUGCCUCAUGAUUUAUGUUCAAAUUAAGAAUAAAUAGAGGUAAAAUGAAGAAGGUCAUAUUCAGUGAAUUAAUGCGAGAACAAAUAACGCAAGCUUGCGAAAGUAAAAGGAUGAGGCAAUAAGAAAAAUAACCAUGACUUCUAAAAUUGAACAAACAUAGACAUUAAUCUAUAUAACAAAAUAAAAUAAAGGCUAACUUUUCAAGAAAGAGAAUCUUUAAAUUUCAAUUAAGGCGACAUUAACGAAGAUUCAUACACCUAAAUUACAACCAACAUUUUAGGGGAAAAUGUGUAACGGCCUAUGGUUUAUCUUUCUAAGACAUCAUUGAUUCUCUUUUGAUAUUAUGAAUUAAAGAAAGACACGAAUCAAGUCUUUACAUACACAAAGAGCACAUAUAAAAAUCCAAAUGGAGUAAGAAAAUUAGAAUAAAAGUUUAGCAUUUCUAAAUGUGAAAUAUCGUUCAACAGUCAUACUAUGCAUGACUCGAAAAUAUCUAAAUAAUUCUAUUUAGCCAUAAAAGCCCAAACUUUCUCAUCAUUUUGACAAGUCAACAUGCGAAAAAAAAUAAACAUCUUGGAUGAAAAAGAGCUAGCACUUCAUCUCUCAUAUGAGGAUUUUGAAAUUCAUUAAAAUAAUUAGCAAGAAAAUGACAAGUUCUUGACUUAACCAAUUACUAUUUUAUUAAGGCAAAACAAACAAUAGUCACUAUUCUUUUUGACAUAAAGAAAACAACUUUACAUGUUAAAAACAAAUAUAUCCGCCAACAAUGAAUUUAAACAAAGCAUAAGAACGUCUUUGAAGCAAAGAUUGAAACUUUAUCCAUAAUAAUCAAAGAAUAAAGUCAAAAAGGAGAAACAAUGAAUAUUAUCUAUUAUUUUCAACAUAAAGGAAACAACUUUACAUGCUAAAAACAAACAUAUCCACUAACAAUGAAUUUAAACAAAACAUAAGUGCAUCUUUUAAGCAAAGAUUGAAACUUUAUCUAUAAUAAUCAAAGAAUAAAGUAAAAAGAAGAAAAAAUUAAUAUUAACUAUUAAUUUCAACAUAAAAGAAACAACUUUACAUGCUAAAAGCAAAGCUAUCCGCCAACAAUGAAUUUAAACAAACCAUAAGUACAUCUUUUAAGUAAAGAUUGAAACUUUACCUAUAAUAAUCAAAGAAUAAAGUCAAAAAGGCACGUACAACUAUUGCUAGCUCAUUGUUAUACCAUGGACAUGAAAAUAACUAUAAUAUCGAUACCGCAAUGUCCUAUGGCCUUCAAGGACCUCUACAACAAACAAUCUCAGCAAAUAAAAUUACAACUACGAACUACGAAGAAGAAAAAAGAUGAAGAAGAAAAUGAUAAUAAAACUAAAAAAAGGGAAAGGUGUGUUUACCUUUUUUGGGGCAGCAAAACGGGACUACAAGCUUUCUUCGGAGUCUUGACCACCAUCGGAAAGCGUUGUUGACACCCAGUUUUGGCUCUCCAUAUUUAAAAUUAAUGCAUUUAGGCUCCCUGAUCGUUAAAUGACACAAUAUGCAAUUUUUCACAUAUUUUUUGCAAUUGUUAAUAAAAUGUUGAUAAUCAUCAUUAUUUUAGGAUUUUUUUACUCAUUUAUUGUCAUAUUUUAAUUUUACAUAAUUUAUUGAUAAUUAUCUUUAAUUUCAUAAAUUUUAGAAUUUUUAUCAGUUUGUUAUUAUUUUUAUAUUUUUGCAUAAUCAUUUGCAUACGUACACAGCGCAACACUAUAAAUUUUUUUGACUGCACAGUAUAAUUUUAAUUAUUUAUAGCAUAAUAUAUUUUUUUCAAGAUAAUUAUAUUUUUUAUUUUUUGCUUAUAUUCUUCUGUAAUUAUACAUCGGCAUUCAUUAUUUUGUACGUUAUUUAAUACGACCUGCAAAUGUGAUACGGUUUAAUUAUUUUAAUACAUAGAGCAAAAAUCAGUCAAGUCAACAUUUUGUCAAUUUUUUAAAAGAUAGACAUUUGAAGUGAUGGGUUGAGAUUUUUUAUUUUUGGGUAAAAAAUUUUUUAUACAUUAGUUAAAAAAAAUAUUUUUAUUUUUGAAUAAAAAGAGGGGUUAGUUUUUAAUUUUUUAGGUAAAAAGGAGAAUUAUUUUGUAUUAUAAAGAGGAGAAGGAGUAUAUUUUAUACAUUCACAUACUCAAACAUUAAACAUAUUAUCAGAUUUGCUCUCUCUCUCAAAAUCAAUAUUUUUCUCCUCUUUACUUUCUCUUUACUGCCGCUCCACCACCACCGGAGCUCCGGUGAGUUUCACCAUCACCACCACCACAACGCCUCUCCUCUCUUCUUUCUCUCCCCUUUCCCUCUUCUUUUCCCCCCACUCCAGCCGCGUCGCGCCGCACGACCACGCGCCACCACUACCGCUAAAACAGCCACAAAACCACAACCAAACAACCAUCAAAAUUUGACCUUCGAUUUUCAGGCCGAACUACCAGCGCCACUCUCUUUUCUCCACAUUUUUAGCGAAACCUUACCCACCAUCGUUGCCGGCCACCGGGUUUGACCACCAGAUGGCCGGAGACCACCAAUAAUCACAGUACUUCGACCUUUUUAACUCUAUUGAACUAAGUUUGCAUCAAAUUUGUCUGUUGCUUAUUUGAUUUUGUAGAUCUGGUCAUUUUGGAUCCGGCCAUAAUGGUUCACUAUCCGGUGAAAAUUCUAUUUUGACCCACAAACUCCAUGGAAGCCGGACAAUCUGCUAUAUUUAGAUGCUAAUUUUUUAUGCCUUUUGUUUUUCUACUUUAUUACUGUUGUUUGAUGCUAGCUGCUACAUUCACGUUGCAUUUCUUUUGUUAUUACUUUGUGAAGUGAUUUAGCACUAUUUUAUGAUUUUUCUUGGGCGAGCUGCUACUAUUUUACGGGAUUGAUUAGGAAGAUUUUGUCUUUUAUAUUUAAUUGAACAGAUGAGAAACAUGAUUCUACACUAGUAUGAUCGAUGAAGAAAUUUUCAUCGAUUUUUAGGCCUGGACAAAUAAAAGACGGAUAUUAUGUAUACAAAUACGUAAUAAUAUAAAUAAAUUUAGGCAAUAACGAAAUUUUUAUAACAAUGCAAAAGGUUUUACGAUUCGUACCUUGGCAAGACGAUUUAGGAUGCCAAUAAAUUGAGCAACCACUUCGUAGCCAUGACAUAUUUAAAGUCUAAUUCGAGCCCUCUUUUAAGGAAAGGUUAUAUUUUUUUACACAUAUAUGCAUACAUAAUUUUUUAAUUUAUUUUGAUAAUUAUUUAUUUGUUACUAACAUUUUAUUUAGUAGUGUUUAUACAGGUUAUUGGAAAUACUCACCCGAAAAUACUCACCGGGAAUAGCAUUCAAAGAAGACUUUAAUUUUUAUGUUUGUAUUUUUAUACUUGUACACUUGUACGAAUAUUAAAUUAUAGUGAAAUCUUUAUUUUUGAUGGGUUGGGAGGGAUAUUAUUUAUUUACGCAAUUUUUAUCACGCGUUAGGCAAAUUUAGGUCGUUACUAUUCAUAUAAAAGAAUUAAAUUGAUUUAGAUAUUUAGUAGGAUAAUUCAUAUUUUACACUAAAAACAUUAUGUAAUCUUUCCUUUGAACAAAUUGUUCUUUAUUUAAUCUUUUCAUUUUUUCAUACAUAUUCUCAUGUAUUUUUUUCUAUUUUCAUACACUUUUUAUACACUUAUUUUUACGAUAACAUAUGUAAUUUACACAUUCUUUACAUAUAAAUUGUGUAUAUUGUUUUAAUAUGCACUUUUGUAUUUGUACUUACAAACAUCAAUUUUUUCUCUUUCUUUUAAUAAACCUAAGUUUGGCCGGGAACCAUAUUUGUGGAUUCUAAAAGGUGUCUAAUACCUUCCUUCGGAAUAAUUUGAACCCUUACCUAGAAUUCAAACUGGUUUCGUAGAUUAAAUAAAUUCAUACUUGUUAAAUAAAUAAAUAGGUUUUCUAUUUUUCCUUAAAAAUUAGGUGGCGACUCCGUACAAAUCAAUUCUUUUAGAGUCCAUAAUGUCGUGCUCGUUUUGACCUUAGGUAAAAAUCCGGUAUGACAAACGUUCAACUCGUGAACUUCAAUUAACCCACGAAUUUCAUGGAAAAGAAAAUCUUUUUUACUAAAAAAACUCUUCUUUGCUCAAAACUUUUUUUUCAACUUGAAACUUGGUCUUUCUAUCAAAAUAGUGGUAGUAUUUAUAGGAAAGGAUGAAGAUUCAAUUCUUUUCAUCCACCAAUGUGGAAGAGAGAAUUUAGGGGUAUUUUUGAAGUUUUAAAAUUGAAGAUAAGGUGAGGUGGAAGAUAAGGUGGGGAAAUUGUACAAUGUAGUAUAAUAUUUGAAUUUAAAAAUUUGAAUUUGAAAAAAGAACAGGGUUGAGGGGGAAUUUUACAAUGUAGUAUAAUUUUUGAAUUAAAAAAAAAGGACAAAGUUGAGGGAAAAAUCAUACAAUGUAGUACAAUUUUUGAAUUUCAAAAUUUGAAUGUGAAAAAAGGACAGAAUUGAGGGAGAACUGUACAAUGUAGUACAAAUUUUGAAUUUGAAAAAUGAAAAAAGGACAAAGUUGAGGGGGAUUGUACAAUCUAGUAUAAAUUUGAAAUUAUUUUUGGUGGAAAUUGGGUAGAAGUUAUGAGAGUUUUUGAGAAUUUCGGGGUUAUUUAAAAUAUAACCCCAAUUGAGAUUUAAAAUUAAGCUAAAUUUAUUUAAUUUUGACCAAAUUAAAAAUCAAUUGGCGGAUUGCAUUGCCAUUAUGACCAAUUUGAUUUCAAUUAUGGCCAAAUCUAAUAGAUUGACUAAAUUAAAUUGAAAUUCGAUAUGAAUUAAUAAUUCUUUUAAUCCCGAGCUUCUUGAUUUAAUAAAAUCAAACGCAUAUUUAUUCAAAUAAAUUAUUUUUUAGAGUAAAUUAUAUUUAAAUCAAGACUUUAUCCAUUCAAAUUAAUUUUUAAACUUAUCUCCGUAAAAGCUCAAAUUUUGAUAAAAAUAUUUAUUCAAGUAACAAAAUUAUACAAUCUCGUAUAUGUGAAUAUGAAAAUGUAUAAUCAUCACUUAAAUGACAAAACUGACCUAAAUAAAUAUUUUAGAGCGCAUUUAUCCGGAUGAAAUAAAUAUUUCACUUUUAUUUAAAAUUGAAGAAAAUUCGGAUUAAAUUUAGUCGUGGAGGGCAAAAAUUAGGUGUCAACAACUGCCCCCUCCCUUUAGGUAGGGUGGAUGUAAGUAACCCUAGGCAAACAGAGUUUCACGUCCCUAAUUUUUGUCCAACCAUAAAUUUAUUUCUGAGAGAGGUUGGAUUUCGCAUGAGUUUCAUGGAUUUAUGGCUGGACCUCGGUAUCAGGUUUCUGAUAUAUCUCAGGUUACAUGAGAAUUCAGGCCACUUGUAGUUCAUAAAUCUUGAUUUAAAGCAUGAUUUUCAGAAAAUUCACAAGUUAUCUUAGUUUUUGAGUUUUAGUAAAAUCAAAAAGUUGGAGAAUAAAGGGAUUUGGGGGAAAGUUGGAAUGCAAUCGAGUUUUCUAUAUAGAGCCCAACCUACAUAUUUCCGAGACUUAGUAAAUCAGACUGCUUGUAGUUUGACUCAAUUGGUAGAAAAGAUAGUCUUUUAUUCUAGACGAUCUUUGAUUUGGGAUGAGUGACAAGUUGAUAAAGUUGCGAGAAAAGAGGUUUGUAACCUCUUAACCAUAAAUGUGGAGCUCUUCAUAUCCUUAGGUAAGAACUUAGCUGGCCAUAAUUUCCAAAACUCUAGGUAUGUUGUCACCCAAAUUUAAAAGAAAAAGAAGGUUACCAUCAGUAUGAGUUUAGAAAUGUCCCAAAGGCAAAGAUAAAACCAGAAUACCCCAAAAUACACACAUGCCUUCAAAUAGGGGUGUGGUUGGAUGGUGGUGGCGAUCAUUCUUUAGCUCGCAUCUAAAGAGUUUGACACCCAUCUCUAGACUAUGUCUUAUUUUGUUGCUAAGAAAAGUUCCACGUUAUGCUACGUCCUUUUCAGAGUCGUCCAUAGAUUUUCAUCCUCUCGAAUGCUCUCGACAAUAACUCAAACAAUAUUCUUAGUAAUAAACACAUCCACGAAAGGUGUAUAUAGUUUCUUACCAUACCUCUACGUGAGUUGUUAUUCAAAAAGCGAAGCCAUCCUCUCAGGUACCUAUUUGGAAGGAAAUAACUUACAAUAAUAAACACAACAACCCUCGUAGUUGUUGAAUAAGAUAGUUCCUUUAUUGAUUAAGUAUGUCUUCAAAGUGGGGCGACCCUCUUGGGCACCAAUGACACUUUAUGCCAAACAGUCCCUACAAUCGUGUAAUCUUAUGCUGAUGCGGCAACCCUUUUGGUUACCUGUAGUACUUGUGGAAUGAUAACCUCUUCGGUUAUUGCUAAUGAUUCUUUGCAUAUGACCUUGGGUAAGUUUUUUGCAUCUUUUGUGUCGAUAUGACUUAAAGAUUAACCUUGAAUUGUCAAUCUUUGGAUAAUCUUGCGCAUUAUUUGAUGUUGGAUACGAGGCAACUUACAAAUAUCCUUUGAAGUGCUAGCUUUCAGAUAAUCCUGCAUAUUAUCUGACCUUAGAUAAGAUAUAACUUACAUAUAUCUCUCCAAUCGCUAGCUCUCAGGUAUUCCAGCACAUCAUCCAACCUUGGAUACAAUAUGACUUAUAGAUAUCUCUCAAAUUGCUGGUCUUUGGAUAAUCCUGGACAUAAUUGAUCUUUGAAUAUGACGUGCUUAUUGAGAACCCUUGGAUUUAUUAAUUUGAUAGUCUCGCAUACUCUCCGAUAAGAAUUUUGUUGCAACUUAUGGAUAACCUUCGGACUAUCAAUUUUUGGGUAACGUUGCACACUAUCUGGUUUGGAUAUUGUUAAGGCUUACGGAUAACCUAUGGGCUACAUCUCAUAGGUAAUCUUUCACACUAUCCUAUUUCAAAUACUAUGACUUAUAGAUGACCCUUAAAUUGUUAAUUUCUAGGAACUCUUAUAUAUUAUCCAUCUUCAGAUAGCGACUUAAAGACGUCCCUUCAAAUUGCAUGCUCUUGAUGCAUUUAGAUGCCGAUUCAUAAAAUGAUGAGAUAUUCUUGAUGCCAACAUUUGUGUUUUGCGUGUCAACAGAUACUAAAUACUGAUGAUAUCUUCGACGCCAGUAUUUGUGUCUCGCGUGUCAACAGAUAUUAAAUUCCAUGAUAUCCUCGACGCCAAUGUUUGUGCCUCCUAUGUCAGCAGAUAUUAAACUCCAUGAUAUCCUCGACACCAACAUUUAUGUCUCGUGUGUCAAUAGAUAUUAAAUGUCGUGAUAUCCUCGACGCUAGUAUUUGUGUCUCGCGUGUCAACAAAUAUUAAAUUCUAUGAUAUCAUUGACGUUAGUGUUUAUGUCUCGCGUGUCAACAGAUAUUAAAUGCCGAUGAUAUCCUCGAUUCCAAUGUUUGUUUCUCGCGUGUCAAUAUAUAUUAAAUGCUGAUGAUAUCCUCGAUGCCAGCGUUUAUGUCUCGCAUGUCAACUGGUAUUAAAUAUUAUGGUAUCCUCGAUGCUUGCAUUUAUAUCCCGUGUGUGAACAAAUAUUAAAUGCUUAUGAUAUCUUCGACGUCAACGUUUGUGUCUCACAUGUCAACAGAUAUUAAAUGUUGAUGAUAUCCUCGACACCAGCAUUUGUAUCUCACGUAUUAACAAAUAUUAAAUGCUGAUGAUAUCCUCAAUGUCAGCAUUUGUGUAUCGCGUGUCAACAGAUAUUAAAUAUUGAUGAUAUCCUCGAUACCAGCAUUUGUAUCUCGUGUGUCAAUAGACAUUAAAUGCUAUGAUAUCCUCAACGCCAACGUUUGUAUCUCGCGUGUCCACAGAUAUUUAAUGUUUAUGAUAUCUCCGACGCUAGUGUUUGUGUCUCACAUGUCAAUAGAUAUUAAAUGUUGAUGAUAUCCUCGACAUCAGCAUUUGUGUCUCGCGUAUCAACAGAUAUUAAAUAAUGAUGAUAUCCUCGACGUCAACAUUUGUGUCUCAUAUGUCAAUAGAUAUUAAAUGUUAUGAUAUCCUCGAUGCCAGCAUUUGUGUCUCGCAUGUCAACAGAUGUUAAAUGCUUAUGAUAUCCUUGAUGCCAGCGUUUGUGUCUCACGUAUCAAUAGAUAUUAAAUGUUGAUGAUAUCCUCAACACCAGUAUUUAUGUCUCGCGUGUCAAUAGAUAUUAAAUAUUGAUGAUAUCCUUAACUCCAGCUUUUGUGUCUCGCGUGUCAACAAAUAUUAAAUGCUAAUGCUAUCCUCGAUGUCAGUGUUUGUGUGUCGUGUGUUAACAAAUAUUAAAUGCUUAUAAUAUCCUCGACGCCAACGUUUGUGUCUCGCAUGGUCAAUGGAUAUUGCUGCUUCAAAGCAAUCUCCAAGGCCAAACCUUAUCAUCUUACACCAUGAGUGAUUAUGGAGACUUAGUUGAAUGUCGUAAUGGCCCUCUUGGCGAUGAAAUGAUAUGAAAUGGCCCUUGUGGAAAUGGCAUGAAAUGCCUCUCUCAGCGAUGAAAUGAUAUGAAAUGGACUUCUUGGCAAUGACAUGAAAUGGCCCUCUCGACGUUGAGAUAAUAUGAUAUGGCCAUCUUGGCAAUGAAAUAAAAUGAAAUGGCCCUCUCGAAAAUGGCAUGAAAUGGCCUUCUCGACAAUGAGAUGAAAUGGCCCUCUCGGCAAUGAGAUGAAAUUUCCCUCUUGGCAUGGCCAUCUUGACAAUGGUAUGAUAUGAAAUGGUUCUUCCAAUGAUUUGAAAACAGUUUCACGUAAGUCCAUUUGUCUGUGUUUUUGCUUUCUACAUAUACCUGUACUCAAUGUGGAUAGUUAGUAGACAUAAUGCCCCUCUCGCUGGUGACUAUAAUCAAAUUUGUGAAAGUUUAAAUGGCAAAUACUCGACAUCAUAAUCUAAAUGGCUUAAUUCACUAUUCAUUCUCUUUUCGAAGAAGUAUUUAAAUAGCAGACCCACCAGAUAUAAAUGAAUGGGUAAAAUCCCUUUUAGGGCUACUUAAAUACCGUUCCUAUUUCUUCAAUGAAUUUUGAGGAGGAAUUUCCGCUCUUCUCUUAUUAAGUGAUCCUUUUGAUUGUUGUAUUUACUGUGCCGACUCCUUUGAAUGCACCUGCGCUCAAAGUGAAAAUUUAAUAUACACAGAGUCUCUUAUGUUAGCAACUGUAUUUAUAUAAAGAAUUCUAAAUACAAUAUUCAUAAAGAAUAUAACGCAUCGUUGUUUGUCCUUCAUGGUCUCAAGAAAUGAGAUAGUUAAUUGAAAAGGUCCUUGAUAAUUGGAUAUUAAAUCCGUCUUUAGGAAUGCCCAAAAAUACCGUUCUUAAGCAUUAUAUGCUUUGGUGUGGCUCGCAACUCGCUUGGGUAUUUUAUAAAAAUAUUCCCAUUUUUUUGUACUGAUCCUUGCAUCCACAGAAAAAUAAUUAGUCAUGAGUGAAACUACUCCGUGUUGACCUCCUUCGAUCCUUGGUUUUCUUCUCUCCAUCUUUUGGGUACUCCUCCAUGUUGGGACUUCCACCCUGACUCCUCGUUCCAAAUAUGCCUAGGCAUUCACUAAGUAAGAAGAUUUGCAUAGAUUUUUUAAAGUAGUCUUAAUUUUAAAAACUAGUUUCAAAACUUCUGUAAAAGAUUUAGAAAAUUUCUACCAGUCAUGUCAUGUACUAGCUCAACAAACGUCUUCCUCUUGGUUCUAACUAUAUCUGAAGUUUGACGGAGGAUUUCCAAGGAUUCAUCAUCGUUGAGGCUUUCUAUUAGAAGUUUUACCGUGGCUAGUGAUAUCCAGAACUUGCCUUUUACCUCUAGUGCUGGGGGAUUUGAAAUAUAUUUCAAUAUAUUAGUGGAAAUUUUGAGGACCUCUUCAAAAUUUCUGCCCCACUUUACUACUAUUUGAGAUGAUCUUAGCUUGAGAAGAUCUAAAAUCUUUGCUGAUCUUCAUUCUCUUUAUUAGAUGAUAAUAUUUUUCUUGUGAAUUUUUGAAAUUCCUUCUCAAAAAUUCUGCCCCAGUUUCCAUUUUCUGGGGUUAUAUGAUCGAGCCGUUGGGGCGCAUACGUAUCCCUGUUGAAGCAGAAAUCAGGUCAAACAUAGUUCAGGACUAUGCUAGGGAUAUAUAGAAAAAUUUAAUGGGUUGACCGAAGCCGACAUAGGCCGCCUACGUAUCCCUUUUGUUGGGAAUUCAGGUCAUCACAUAGUUCAUACAUAAAAAAAAGGAUAAAUUGUCCUAAAGGAUUGACCGAAGUUGACAUAGGCUUCCUACAUAUUCCUUUCUUGGGAUUUCAGGUCAAACGUAGUUCGUACAUAAAAGGAAAGGAUAAAUUGUCCUAAGGGGUUUACCGAAGCCGACAUAGGCUGCUUACGUAUCCCUUUCUUGGGAAUUCAGGUCAAACAUAGUUCGUAACUCUUGGAAAAUAAUUCUUUGCCAAAUGGCAGAUUGUCUUUUUCUGAUUAUUAAUGGCCUCUUCAGCAUACAUUCCAUAUUCUAAAUACCUUUUAAUAUCCCAUGGCUUUCCAUCAGGUUUCUCUUUGAUGUACACACAAUGUGCCGAUUUUUAUUUCAAGCUUAUUUUUAAAGGAUCAAUGUAACUCUUAUCUGGGUGCUAAAUCACGAAGGAUAUAGUAUCCCAAGCAUCAGCAAACUCAUUAUGUAUCCUCGGGAUAUGUCUGAAAUCAACCUCCUUGAGUCUUCCAUACAAAUCCUGUGUCAGCUCUACAUAAGGAGUAAUCUUGGAGUUCUUUACCACCCAUUCCCUCCGUACCUGGUGAAUCAACAAAUCUGAUUCUCUGAUGACGAGCAAUUCACUAGCACCCAUAUCAAGUACCAACUUGAGACCUAGGAUGCAACCCUCAAAUUCAGCUAUGUUAUUGGUAUACGGGAAAUGCAACUUAGCGGUUGUUGGAUACUGUUGGCUUAUUUCUGACAUCAAAACUGCUUUGAUUCCUGAGCCUUUGAAGUUGACUACUCCAUCAAAGAACAAUCUUCAUCUGGGAUAUAUCUCUGUAAUGUCUGCUCCCACGAAUAAAAUCUCGUCAUCUGGAAAGUAUGUUUGAAGUGGAUCGUAUUCAUUAUCAACCGGAUUCUCAACUAAAUAAUCUGCUAAGGCUUGCCCCUUGAUUGCCUUUUGAGUCACAUACACAAUGUCGAACUCACUCAGUAACAUUUUUUACUUAGCUAACUUUCACGUUAGCAUAGAUUUCUGAAUAUAUACUUCAAUGGAUCCAUUCUGGUAAUGAGAUAUGUUGUGUAUGAGGAUAGAUAAUGCCUCAACUUUUGUGUGACCCAGGUCAAAGCACAACACGUCAUUUCUAGAAGAGUAUAGCGAGCCUCAUAUGGUGUAAACUUUUUAGUCAAGUAGUAGAUUGCUUUCUCUUUCUUACCGAUCUCAUAUUGAUGCCUGAGGAUAUACCCAAAAGCUUUUUCUGAGGCUAACAGGUAAAGCAACAACAGACUUUCUUCCCUUGGUGAAACCAAAAUAGGUAUUUCUCGAUUCUAUCAAAAUUUUUUUGAUAUUUUUCUAUCUAUUCAUUCAAUGCAUCUUUCUUCAACGUCUUGAGAAUUGGCUCACAUAUGACUGUUGACUGGGUGAUAAACUUGCUAAUGUGAUUCAAAUGACCCAGGAAAUUCAUAACCUCUUUCUUGGUCCUUGGUGGCAGUAAAUUCUAAAUUGUCUUGAUAUUUGUAAGGUCCCACAAAGUUCCCUCGUAGUUUGAGCCUUAGGGCAUAUCGAGUGAGGCGUGAUUCCAUCCCUAAAAGGUUGAAAAGUGGUUUCCUAAGUAAUUAUCAUGUUGACCAUAUAGAAUUUCCCUAAUUUCGACUUUCUAUAAUCUAAUAAGUUUUUCAUCGAUAGAAGAUUUGCCCAAAUCCGAUACCCGGGUAAGAAAUUAUGGCUAAUUUAAGACCUAGUCAUAAAACUGUGUCAUUUUAGUGCUUGACGCAUCGUGGAGAGGGUUGAUUUGACAAUUGUAAAAUUCCAGUGAGCCACCACGAUAAGUGGCGCGUCGCGGUGACCCCUUAAAUCGGGUUCCCAGUUUAAUUUUUCCAGCUUUGUACAGAUUUUAAAAGGGGAAUUUUGGACUUUUUCCAAGCCUAUAAAAUCGUGCAAACACCAAAUCAAAGUCAUUUGCAAGCAUCCUAUGAGGGUUUUCUCAAGUUUUCUCUUAUAAAAAACCCUAAGGAUCCAAAACCUCUUCCAAGAAUCUCAAGAAUCCACUAUGGAUUUUCUAAAUUGAGUCAAGAUUCAAGGUUCCCAAGUCAAGGGCCUCAAGAACCCUCAUUCAAGAGUACGAAUAGAGUUCCAAAAGUGAGAGUUCAUCCAAAGCUUCUAAUUCAAAGUAUGUGGGAUUUUGAACAAGGGUAACCCUUUCACCCUUCUGCCCAAAAAGCUUAUUUACAUCAUGAUUUUGUUGAAAUCUAUAGGGUUUUUACAUGAAUUUGAAUUGGGUUUUUUCACCCAUUAUUAUGGAAUCCAUUACCUUGAUAUUUCCCAUAAAUUGAGAGUUAAAUGGCAUGAUUUCUACAUAUUUUCUUGAGUGUUUAUAGCUAGGUAUAAAUCCCAUGAUUUUACUCCUUGAUAAGCUAAUAUUUGCAAUAUUUGAGGUGGUGAAGCAUAUGACUAAAUUGAGAUUUUGAGACAUAUUACUGAAAUUCCCAGAUUUCUACAUGAUUUAUGAAUCUAUAUGCUUUAUAUAUUAUGUUUUAUAUAAGCUUCAACUUGAGAUUAAACUAUGGGUUAGUAAGCCCUAUUUGAGACUUGUGAAAUUAUGAACUCUUAUGCUAUAACCACCCAUGUUUUGAGUAUUUUGAGAUGAUUGAGAAAUGAAUUGACCUAAUGGUCCUAAAGCUUUGAAAUCCACUCAUUAUAUGAGAUUAUCGAUUUGAUUAUUGGGUUCGUGGUAAACCAUGAGAUUAUUCUAAAAGUGGAUUUUUAUGAGAUGAGCGCAGAUAAAAUCUAAAGGGAGUAGUACUUAGCACCGAGCGAGUAAGUCACUGUGGUUUCUUACCCCAAAACUAUGUGCCACCGUAGGUUAGACCUGAGGCUGAGUUUAUGAUGAUUAUGAUUAGGCCUGAGGCUAAGUUUCAUUUAGUGAUCAUUAGACCUAGGUUAUACUCCUUGGCAAGAGUAUGACGUUCCUCCCUAAUGUGGGGUCUCCUUCUUAGGAGGACAAAAUAUUGGACUCUAUGUAGCUUACAUGGUUUAUGUCGGUUACGAGAACCCCCUUGCCCUUUUAAACUUCAAAAUUUGAUACUUAUUUUCCCUUCUUAUGAGUUAUUUUCCUAAAUGGUGGAAUUUCAAAGUUGUUCCCUAAUUAAAGUGCUUCCUUGAGGUGGAUUAUUUUCCUAAAUGAAAGUAUCUUCCCUUGUUAUAGUACUUUUCAUAAAGCUUUGAGAUAAGUUAUUUCCUUGAGCUAGAAUACUUUUCCAUUUGAGAUGGAGUAAUUUUUCUAAAGCUUGAAAUGAGAUAGUUUUCUAAGGUGGAUGAAAUGCCUUCAAAUAUGUUUUUGAGUCAUAUGAUUCCGAAUUCCAAGUAUAUGAGUUCUAAAUAAUUAUGAAAUAUUGAGCAUUGAAGAGAAUUUACUCUCCAUGAGACAUAUGCAUGAGUCUAAAGUAUUGUUCAAAGUCCCUUAGCCUUUAGGUAUUGAGAAUAACAGAAGAUUUUUGAUUUUUAAGGUUAAAGAGUGAUGACUCACGAGAUUUGUGUUGCAUGCCUCAUUCUACAUAAUUUAUGAGCUUUAUAUUUUAUACUUGUUCAAGCUAUGUGAGUCAUCUCAUUUUCCAUACAUGAUUUUAUUGAAGAAGAUCGGUACUAUUUUUAUACAUAUGCAUUCACUCCCGCAUACUUAGUACAUUCCAAAGUACUAAUUCACAUAUAUGUCUAUGUGCUACAUUGUCUUAUAAUGUAGGUUCAGGUGCUUGGUCCCAGCCUCAUCUGUGAUUCUUCGAGUACCUUGCCUACGUUUUGUGCAAUGGUGAGUCCUCAUGGUUCGAGGACUGAUCUUUCUAUAUUUUCUGUGUUUGAGAGACUAUGUUUUAUCUUCAGUUCAUUUCGAGUUAGUUGGGGACCUAUCCCAAUGGCUCUUUAGUUUUUGAUUCGUAGAGGUUUUGUCAGACUAAUAUCAUACUUAUAAUGUGUCAAGGGUUCAGUAUUGGGGUUUUGUUAAGAUUUCUCUAUAUUUUGGUCAUAUGGAUCGAGUAUCUUUCCUGUAUUUCCUUUCAUGUGAUAUAACUAUGCGAGUGUUGAGUCUAUUUCAUCUUGAAUUGAGUGUUAUUGGUAGCAAUCGGCUCUAAGGGUUAGUUUGGGACUACUUGUAGCCUUAAGCACCGUGUGACGUCCCGGGAGAUGAUUUCAGGUCAUUACAAACUUGGUAUCAGAGCCUAAGGUUUCUAAGGAGUCCUAGGAAGUCUGACAAGCUGGUUGGGUAAAGUCUUGAUCAUCGAUGUGUAGCGCACCAUAUAUAUGAGCAAGAGGCUACGAGACGUUCUAGGAAAAGUUGUUUCUUCUUUCAGAUUCUAUUGUGCCUACAGUUGUCCCUCUUAUCUAAUGAUCCGUGCUUUUCUAUUUUUAUAAAAUGCCUUCUCGAAAAGCGAAUGUCCAUGGAAACAAUGAUGAAUAACCCCUACCUGUUGAUCGUGUGAAUGAGACGGUAUCCAUGCUGAGUUUAUAGUGGCCUUUUAGGCGUUAGCCCAAGGGGUCACCAUAAAUAUUCGAGCCAAUAACCAGGCCCCAGUUGCUAAUCAGCAGGGUAGUGACAUAGCUGUGGCUAGAAUUCGUGACUUUAUGCGGAUGAAUCCGCCUGAGUUUUAUGGGUCCAAGGUAGACGAGGACCCCCAGUUGUACUUAGAGGAGGUGAGGAAGAUCACUGAUAUGACGCAGGUUUCAAAAUAAGAAAGUGUUAUGCUGGCAUCCUAUAGACUGAAGGACAUUGCUUAUGAUUGGGUUGUAUCGGUGAAGAAGGGUAGAGGUGAGAUUGCUGUUUCUAUGACUUGCAAGUGUUCCAAGAUGCCUUCUUAGACUAGUUCUUUCCACUUAAUAUGAGGGAGGCAAAGAUUGAGGAGUUCAUGAACUUGAGGCAAGGCUCCAUGACUGUUAAGGAGUAUUGCUUGAAGUUCAAUCAGUUGGCCAAGUAUGCUCCUGAUUUGAUUUCUGGCAUCCGAGCUAGUAUGAGUAAGUUUGUGACUGGUGUUUCUGGGAUAGUACUGAAGGAGUGUAGGACUGUGAUGCUGUAUAAGGAUAUAGAUCUGGCUAGGUUGAUGACGCAUGCCCACAGAUAGAAGCUUAGAGAAAGAGAUAGAAUGAGGAGUAGUAAGAGGACUAGAUUGAGCAGCAUGAGUUUAGUCAGCCUAGGUUCCAUGGAGAGAAUCACCCCCAAUUUUAGAGACGACCGUCUAUUCCAGUACCUUCAUCAGCUAGUGCUCUCGCGCCUAGAGGUAAGCCGGAGCAAGGGAGUAGGUCUUUCAUGUUUGGGUCGUAGAACAGUGUUAGUAACCAGCCUCGUUAUCCUCCUUGUGCUAAAUAUGGUAGGAAUCAUCUUGGGGAGUGUUUCAGGGAUGUGAUGGGUUGUUUUAGUUGUGGCAAGUAGGGCCACACACUUAGAGAUUGUCCCCAUGCUAGAUAGGGGAAUAGAGAUGCCCGACCUCAGGCACAGGCUACUAGUGCACCAGCUUCAGUACUCUGUCCCAUCCCUGCUCAGGGCACUUCUUCUAGCACCCCUGGCGAUCAGCGCCAGAACAGGUUAUAUGCCUUGCCACCCCAUCGGGAGUAUGAGGACUCUCUUAAUUUUGUUACUGGUAUGCUUCAUAUCUUUUGUCUUGAUGUUUAUGUGUUAUUGGACCCCGAGUUAAAUCUCUCUUAUGUGACCCCACUUGUAGCUGUGAUUUUCAAAAUGAGUUUCGAAAAGAUUCCCGAGCCUUUUCUAGUUUCUACUCCAGUCAGAGAGUCAGUUGUUGGUAAAUAAGUGUAUAGAGGUUGCCCUAUUAUUGUGCUUUAUAAAGUCAUACCAGCUGAUUUGAUAGAGUUAGACAUGGUAGAUUUUGACCUUAUUCUGGGUAUGGAUUAGCUUCAUUUUUGCUACACGUCUAUAGAUUGCCGUACCCGUGUGAUCAAGUUCCAUUUUCCUGAUGAACCAGUGAUUGAGUAGUCCAGGAGUUUGGUAUCUCCCAAGAGUCAUUUUAUCUCCUAUAUCAAAGCUAGAAAACUAAUAUCCAAAGGUUGCAUUUACCACCUAGUUAGAGUCAAAGAAACUCAGUCCGAGACUCUAACUAUUCAGUGAGUCGAUAUUGUUAAUGAGUUUCCAGAUGUCUUUUCGAAAGAUCUCCCAAGGGUACCUCCCGAUAGACAGAUAGAGUUUGGAAUUAACCUUCUUCCUGACACUCGACCUAUUUCUAUUCUGCCAUACCGUAUGGCACCCACAGAGCUUAAGGAGUUGAAGGAACAAAUCAAAGAUCUCUUAGAUAAGGGUUUUAUUAGACCCAGUAUUUCUUCUUGGGGUGCACCUGUGUUGUUUGUACGGAAGAAGGACGGAUCUUUGCGUAUGUGCAUUAAUUCUCGUCAACUGAACAAGUUCACAGUUAAAAAUAAGUAUCCUCUUCUAAGAAUUGAUGACCUGUUCGAUCAGUUGCAAGGUGCAAGUUAUUUCUCCAAGAUAGACCUUAGAUCCGGCUAUCAUCAACUUAAGGUGAGGGAAUGUGAUAUUCCAAAAAUGGCCUUCUGAACCCGCUAUGGUUACUUUGAGUUUCUAGUCAUGUUUUUCGGGCUAACCAAUGCCCUAGCAGCUUUCAUGGACCUCAUGAAUCGAGUGUUCAAGCAGUACCUUGAUAUGUUUGUCAUUGUAUUCAUAGAUGAUAUCCUUGUGUACUUCCAUGAUGAGAAUGACCAUGUGAAUCAUCUUAGAAUUAUCUUGGAAACUCUUAGAGAUCACAGUUAUUCGCCAAAUUUAGUAAGUGUGAAUUCUGGCUAAGGUCUGUAGCCUUUCUAGGUCAUGUUGUUUCGGCCAAAGGUAUUAGAGUCUAUCCCCUAAAGACAGAAGCUAUGAAAAAUUAGCCUAGACCUAUUUCUCCGUACGAUAUUAGGAGUUUCUUGGGUCUAGCGGGCUAUUACCAUUAUUUUGUUGAGGAUUUCUCUUCCAUUGCAUCUCCUAUGACCCGGUUGGCCUAAAAGAAAGUUAUAUUCCAGUGUUCUGAUUCCUGUGAGAAGAGUUUUCAAGAGUUGAAGAUUCGACUCAUUUCAGCCCCUGUGUUGACUUUGUCUGAUGGUACUAAUGGUUUUGUAGUGUAUUGUGAUGCCUCUAUAGUUGGUUUGGGUUGUGUGAUGAUGCAGAGAGAUAAGGUUAUAGCCUAUGCCUCUAGACAGUUGAAGCCGCUUGAAAAGAACUACCCGACCCAUGACCUUGAGUUAGCUGCGUGGUCUUUGCUUUGAAAAUCUGGAGACACUAUCUUUAUGGUGUCCACAUUGAUGUGUUUACUGAUCAUAAGGCCUGCAAUAUGUGUUUACCCAAAAGGAGUUGAUCCUUAGGUAGAGAAGGUGGUUGGAGUUGUUGAAAUAUUAUUAUAUGAGUGUGUUUUAUCACCCGGGCAUGGCCAAUGUAGUGGCGGACGUCCUUAGCAGAUUAUCUAUGGAUAGUGUUGCACAUAUAGAGGAGAGUAAGAGAGAGUUAGCUCGUGAUGUACACUAUCUAGGGAGGUUGGGAGUUAGAUUUCUUGAUUCAGUGGAGGGGAGUACAUUGGUGCAGAGUAGUUCUGAAUCCUCUUUUGUUUUGGAAGUGAAGGAGAAGCAAGAUAGAGACCCUAGUUUGGUCAAAUUAAAGGAGUCAGUUAAGGACUAAAAGGUAGAGGUUUUCUCCCAAGGGGGAGAUGUGUGUUGAGACUGCAUGGUAGGUUGUGUGUCCCAUGUGUUGAUGAAUUAAGGCAGAGGAUUGUGGCUGAAGCGCAUGGUGCACGUUAUUUCAUUCAUCCUGGCACUACCAAGAUGUACCACAAUUUGUGGGAAUUCUAUUGGUGGAAUGGUAUGAAGAAGGAUAUAGCUGAGUUUGUAGCAAGGUGUGUAAUGUGUCAACAGGUUAAGGUAGAGCACCAAAGGUCGGUUGGUAUGAUGCAAGAGAUUGGUAUACCCACUUGGAAGUGGGAGAUGGUGAGUAUAGACUUCGUGACCAGGUUGGCUCUUUCGUUCCAUCAUUAUGAUUCUAUUUGGGUUGUUGUGGAUAGGGUGACUUAGUCCACACACUUAUUGCCCAUGCAUACGUCGUAUACGACUGAGGAUUAUGCUAGAUUGUAUAUCCAGGAGUUGGUCAAGCUGCAUGGAGUUCCCUUAUAUAUCAUUUCGGAUAGGGGUACUCAAUUUACUUCCCAGUUUUAGAGGGCGUUUUAUUAGGGUCUUGGUACCCAAAUUCUUCUAAGUUUCACAUUUCACCCGUAAACAGAUGGUCAGGCUGAGAGGACCAUUUAGACCCUGGAGGAUAUGUUGAGAGCGUGUGCCCUCGAUUUCAAAAGUAGUUGGGAUGGGCAUUUUCUAUUUAUUGAGUUUACCUAUAACAAUAGUUUCCAUGCUAGCAUUGAGAUGGCACCGUUUAAGGCCUUGUAUGGUAGGAGGUGUAGAUCACCCAUAGGCUGGUUUGAAGUGGGUAAAGCUGCCGCACUUAUACCCAAUGCAGUAUUUGAAGCUAUGGAGAAAGUUAAGUUGAUUAGAAAGAGGUUGAAGAUGGCUCAAAGUCGUCAAAAGUCUUAUGCCGAUGUGAGGAGGAGAGAUCUUAAGUUUAAGGUGGGUGAUUUGGUGUACUUGAAGAUUUCACCCAUGAAAGAGGUGAAAAGGUUUGGUAAAAAGGGAAAGCUAAGUCCUCGUUAUGUUGGCCCGUAUAGAGUCUUAAGCCGUGUCGGUAAUGUGGCCUAUGAGGUUAAGUUGCCCUCAAAAUUGUCAGCCAUUCAUCCUAUUUUUCAUGUCUCCAUGCUCAAUAAGCAUAUUGGUGAUUCUAUUGUGGUUGAUCUUUUAAAGAGUGCUGAGAUUCAGGAUAGUUUUUCCUUCGAUUAAAUUCCUAUUGAGAUCUUAGACUUUCAAGUCCGUAGGCUGAGGAACAAAGAAUUUUCCUUGGUCAAAGUGUUGUGGAGGAACCAGUCUGUUGAGGGUACUACUUGGGAGGCAGAAGCAAACAUGCGAACCAAGUACCUGCACCUCUUUUUCGCAAGUUCAGAUCAAUCCGAAGGUACAAUUCUUCCUUGAUUCAGCUCUUCUAAUCUAAAGUUCAGCUAUGCAUCUAUCCUUGUAUGAGUUAUUGCAUUUUCUGGAGUAUUCAUGAGUUUAGAAAGAUCUUGAACCGUUUAGUAAUUGUUUUAGCUAUGUGUACUCAGUUUCUCCUAUAUUCCUAGUCUAACUCGCGAUAUUUGAGGACGAAUGUUCUCAAGAGGGAGAUAUUGUAAGGUCCCAUAAAGUUCCCUCGUAGUUUGAAUCUUUGGGCAUGUCGAGUGAAGCGUGAUUUUGACCCUAAAAGAUUGAGAAGUGGCUUCCUAAGUAAGUAUCAUGUUAACCAUAUAGAAUUUUCCUAAUUUCAACUUUCUAUCACGUGGGAUAUCUGAUAAGUUUUCCAUCGAUAUAAGAUUUGCCCAAAUCUGAUACCCGGGUAAGAAGUUAUGGCUAAUUUAAGACCUAGUCGUAAAACUGCGUCAUUUUAGUGCUUGGCGCGUCACGGAGAGGGUCGAUAUGAAAAUUUACAAAUUCCAGUGAGCCACCGCGAUAAGUGGCGCGUUGCGGUGACCCUUUAAAUUGGGUUCCCAGUUCAAUUUUUCCAGUUUCGUACAGAUUUUAAAAGGGGAAUUUUGGACUUUUUCCAAGCCUAUAAAACCGUGCAAACACCAAAUCAAAGUCAUUUGCAAGCAUCCUAUGAGGGAUUUCUCAAGUUUUCUCUUAUAAAAAACCCUAAGGAUCCAAAACCUCUUCCAAGAAUCUCAAGAAUCCACUAUGGAUUUUCUAAAUUGAGUCAAGAUUCAAGGUUCCCAAGUCAAGGGCCUCAAGAACCCUCAUUCAAGAGUACAAAUAGAGUUCCAAAAGUGAGAUUUCAUCCAAAAAUUCUAAUUCAAAGUAUGUGGGAUUUUGAACAAGGGUAACCCUUUCACCCUUAUGCCCAAAAACCUUCUUUACAUCAUGAUUUUGUUGAAAUCUAUAGGGUUUUUACAUGAAUUUGAGUUGGGUUUUUUCACCCAUUAUUAUGGAAUCCAUUACCUUGAUAUUUCCCAUAAAUUGAGAGUUAAAUGACAUGAUUUCUACAUAUUUUCUUGAGUGUUUACAGCUGGGUAUAAACCCCAUGAUUUUACUCCUUGAUAAGCUAAUAUUUGCAAUGUUUGAGGUGGUGAAGCAUAUGACUAAAUUGAGAUUUUGAAACAAAUUGCUGAAAUUCCCAGAUUUCUACAUGAUUUAUGAAUCUAUAUGCUUUAUAUAUUAUGUUUUUGAUAAGCUUCAACUUGAGAUUGAACUAUGGGUUAGUAAGCCCUAUUUGAGACUUGUGAAAUUAUGAAAUCUUAUGCUAUAAGCACUCAUGUUUUGAGUAUUUUGAGAUGAUUGAGAAAUGAAUUGACCUAAUGGUCCGAAACCUUUGAAAUCCAUUUCAUUAUAUGAGAUUAUCGAUUUGAUUAUUGGGUUCGUGAUAAACCAUGAGAUUAUUCUAAAAGUGGAUUUUUAUAAAAUGAGCGCAGAUAAUCUAAAGGGAGUAGUACUUAGAACCGAACGGGUAAGUCACUACGGUUUCUUAACCCAAAACUACGUGCCACCGUAGGUUGGGCCUGAGGUCGAGUUUAUGAUAAUUAUGAUUAGGCCUGAGGCCGAGUUUUGUUUAGUGAUCACUAGACCUAGGUUAUACUCCCUGGCAAGAGUAUGACGCCCAUCCCCAACGUGGUGUCUCCUCCUUAGGAGGACAAAACAUUAAACUCCAUAUAGCUCGCAUGGUUUAUGUCGGUUACGAGAACCCCUUUGCCCUUUUAAACUUCAAAAUUUGAUACUUAUUUUCCCUUCCUCUGAGUUAUUUUCCUAAAUGGUGGAAUUGCAAAGUUGUUCCUUAAUUAAAGUGCUUCCUUGAGGUGGAUUAUUUCUCUAAAUGAAAGUAUCUUCCCUUGAUAUAGUACUUUUCAUAAAGCUUUGAGAUAAGUUAUUUCCUUGAGCUAGAAUACUUUUCCAUUUGAGAUAGAAUAAUUUUCCUAAAGUUUGAAAUGAGAUAUUUUUCUAAGGUGAAUGAAAUGCCUUCAAAUAUGUUUCCAAGUUAUAUGAUUCUGAAUUCUAAGUAUAUGAGUUCUAAAUAAUUAUGAAAUGUUGAGCAUUAAAGAGGUUUUACUCUCCAUGAGAAAUAUGCAUGAGUCUAAAGUAUUGUUCAAAGUCCCUUAGCCUUUGGGUAUUGAGAAUAAGAGAAGAUUUCUGAUUUUUAAUGUUAAAGAGCGAUAACUCACGAGAUUUGAGUUCCAUCCCUCAUUCUACAUAAUUUAUAAGCUUUAUAUUUUAUACUUGUUCAAGCCAUGUGAGUUGUCUCAUUUUGCAUACAUGAUUUGAUUGAUGAAGAUCGGUACUAUUUUUAUACAUAUGCAUUCACCCCCGCAUACUCAGUACAUUCCAAAGUACUGAUUUACAUAUAUGUCUGUGUGCUACAUUGUCUUAUAAUGUAGGUUCAGGUGCUCAGUCCCAGCCUCAUCCGUGAUUCUUCGAGUACCUUGCCUAUGUUUUCUGCAGUGGUGAGUCCGCAUGGUUCGAGGAACGAUCUUCAGAUAUUUUCUAUAUUUGUGAGACUAUGUUUUAUCUUCAGUUCAUUUUGAGUCAGUUGGCGACCUGUCCCAACGGCUCUCUAGUUUUCAAUUCAUAGAGGUUUUGUCAGACUAGUAUCAUACUUGUGAUGUGUCGAGGGUUCGGUAUUGUGGUUUUGUUGAGGUUUCUCUGUAUUAUGGUCAUAUGGACCGAGUAUUUUUCCCGUAUUUCCUUUUAUGUGAUAUGACUAUGCGAGUGUUGAGUCUAUUUCAUCUUGAAUUGAGUGUUAUUGGUAGAAACCAGCUCUAAGUUUGGGCUACUUGUAGCCUUAAGCACCGUGUGAUGUCCCGGGAGACGAUUUUGGAUCGUUACAAUCUUGGACGGGUUUAGCUCGAUGUCUGGCACACCAAAAGCACACUUAGCCGGAUUCAACGUCAAGUUGUACUUUCUUAGCCUGCCAAAGAACUUUUCCAGAUGGGUCAGAUGAUCUAAACUCUUCCGGGAUUUAAUAAUUACAUCAACCACGUACACCUCAAUCACUUUAUGAAUCAUAUCAUGAAAAAUUAUUAUCAUAGCCCUCACGUAUGUUGCACCCGCACUCUUGAGACCAAACGGCAUCACCCUGUAAUAAUAAACUCCCUAGGGUGUAAUGAAAGUCGUCUUUUGCACAUCUUCAUCAUCUAUUAAUAUCUGAUAAUACCCAACAAAAUAAUCCAUGAAAGACUAUAUUUCAUACUUUGCAUAAUUAUCGAUGAUGAUGUGGAUGUUGGGUAAAGAUAAAUUACCUUUUGGACUGGCUCUAUUCAAAUCUCUAUCGUCAACACAAAAUCGGUUCUUGCCAUCCCUUUUCGGUGCUGGGGCAAUAUUGGAUAUCUAUUUGGAUACUAUGUGGCCUCCACAACCUUAGAUUGAAUUUGCUUCGUCACUUCUUCCUUGAUUUUCAAACUUAAGUCUAGCUUGAAUUUCUGUAUUUUUGGCUUUACUGGAUCAAACUCGAGAUUAAUUGGUAGCUUAUGCGACACGAUGUUGGUGCUCAAUCCCGGAAUAUCAUCACAGGACCAAAAAAAUAUGUCAAUGUACUCCCGUAGCAAGCGAACGAGUUCUCUUUUAUUUGUGCUUCUGCUAAGUGAACACUAACACUUUUCUCUUUGAUUUCAUCGCGGGUUUCCAGGUUGACUAUUUCAGUUUCCUCCAGGUUGGGAUUCUCCGGGUCACCAACCGAUCUUCAUCAUAUUCUUUCCAUUCCACAUUAUUCACCUUGCUUUGUUUGUCUAACCCCUGACAUGAUUAGCAGGUUUUAAAUUAUUGUUACUCCACCAACUUUGUGAAAAAUUAAAUUUCACUUUUUCACCUAUCCUAUUGAUCGGGGAGUGAUAGGUGGAGUGAACGUCCAACUCAGUAACAUUUUCUCCAAUUCAUCUUCCUUAAUUCUGAAUAUCUUAGAAAAUUCUUCCAUCAUAUUUUCCCGAUUCCAUCCUCGAGACCAUCACUUAUAGGUUUUGAAAAAUGACUGCUAGAGUCCAGUUUUACUACUAGUCAUUUUUAUUUCUUGUAACAAAGCCAUAGUCAAGAGGGGAAUAACUUAUUCACUUGAUCUAGUGAAGUAGGGAUAUUUUAUGCCAACACAGAGUAGUUUCUAUUACCUGCAAAGUAAAAGCAACUCAAAGGCUAACGUGUUAGAUUUCGUUAGUAAUAAGCAAGAUGAUAAGGCAUGAAGUAAACACAUAAGGUUGUUUCUCAUCUUAUGUGAAUUAAUCCAUGGAGUAAUGAUGACUCGAGAAUUUCAAUGAAUAGGAAUUUUCUCAUUGAUAUGGAUAAAUGAAAUUUAUCCGGAAGGUUCAACUCUUCCUCUUUCUAUCCUUAUAUCUUCUUUCAAGAAAGUGGAGGACAACAAAGUAUUUGAAGAUAGGGUUUGAGCCAAAAGGCUGCCUACGUAUCUCAUGAAAGAGAAAUCAGGCCCUGCGUAGUUCGAACAUAUAAUGGCUUCUUCUGAGUCCAUAGUCAAUCUUCCUGAAAUAGUAGCGAUCUUUUAAGAAGUUUUAAGAAUGAUUACGGAUUUUUCUGAGAGACUUGGGAGACCUGGAGUAUGUUUGGUCGGACUUUUGUUUAGUCGGUAUUUUUAUGCUUAGAGGUUCUUUUUGAAAUACAGGAUUGGAUCAAUUCUCCUUUGAUUCGAAUCAACAUAACACGUAUAAACACAUAAAACAACUAUAUCACACAAGCAUAUUGUAAUAAACGAGCAUCCUAAUUGGGUGACCCUUUUGAGCCAAGGGUUGGCCUAACAUAUAAUUUAAAGGAAGUAUAUGCUUUUUAAAACCAAUCCAUUAUCCAAAAAACCUCCAUAGGUAAAAAAGGCAUAUAUGCUUACAAAAGUAGGAAUACAAUCUUUAGGGAAAACAUGAGAAAAGAAUAAUGUCCCACCCAGGGGAUAGUAGCUCCUGGAUGUUCUAUUAUCGGCCUUCAUCCUAGCCUCGAAGGAUAAUGGAUUGGAUUAAAUAACAUAUAUUUCUUCCACACAUAAAUAUGAUUCAUUUGUAAUUGGCUCGUGGCCAAUAGACAUAGGGCAGAUUUUCUAAUGGGCCCAAUAGCCCCUCGAGUAUUGGAUCGUCCUAGGCUUAUGCCUAACAAAAGGGUUUUGAUUUUGCUCUAUCCUGGGUGUCUAGAGUGGGUUUAGACAUAGGUUCCUAAGCGGACAACCUGGGUUUGGAAAUACGAAUAGUGUCCGACUGCCUAACGUGUUGGUAAAUCAUCAUAUUCCCAACACUUGAUUUGGAGUUGAUCAACAGGAGUCGGGAUAUCCACGAAACCCCAAAAAAGUUUAAUAACCAUCAUGUGGGAUUAUGACAUGAAAUUCAAAAGUUAAUUUUGCAGAAUUUAAACAUAUAAGCAUAUAAACAGUUGAAACACUAUAAUAGUUAGUCAAAAAAGGCAAAUUAAAAUAUUUGGUUAGAACCUAGUUAAAAUUUCCAACAGAGUCGCCAUUUCGAUUUUAUCCCUUUUUAACUCGAAGGGUUGGAAAACAUUGAUUUCAACUUUUUAAGCUAUUUUGAAACUUUAAAGAAAAUUUCAAAACAAUCUAAGAAAUUGCAGAGUCGCCACUUAAUUUAUUUGAAAAGAAAUUAAGAAAACUUUUUAAAAUAAAAUCCUAAGUCUCAAAAUAGAAAAAGACUUAGGACUUUAAGAAAAUCCCGGGUAAGAGGUUCUUAUUAACAUUUUAGAAAGGUUUUAAGGCACCUAAAAUGUCCGCUAACUUGCGGUUAUCCGAACUAUUUAAAAACCAUUUUGACUAGCUUUGAAAAAAAGAGAAGUUGGUUUUUGAAAAGAAAGUGAUUUAGGAUGAAACUUGUAUAAAAUCAAAUUUUGACACUUAGUAGAGAAUUUAAAUAAGUCUAAGAAAAUAAAUAUCAAAUAAGCACGUAAAGAAAAAACGGGACAAUUAGAAGACUUAGGCUCGUAAGCCCAAAUCCAUCAACCAUGUCCUAAUCUAAUUGGGCUUUUGGCCCACUUGCAUCUGUCCUAAUCUAAAUAUUGAGUUUUGACCCAUAACCUGUCCUAAACUAUUUUUUCGAAUCCAUUGGCCGAGAAUCGGCUUCACCUAUAUUAAAACAAAACUUUGGCUUCGAGGCCCCAAAUGAAUGAAUAAAUAAAAAGAAGACAAUAAUAAAAAUUGAGACUUUACAAUUCUCUUGAUGACCUCCUCAAUGGGUUUUGACCCAUUUUCCUUCUUUGUCUAUCUUCUAGCACCUGCACGCCAUAUAGUUGACCUUGGAUUUAAACUUCAAACUUCACUAGAAGUGGUGGGCCUCAUUGGUCCAUUAUGAAAUGCAAGAGGAGAGGAUUCCAUUUGGACUCAAGACAUUUUUUGCAUGCAAAGAAAAGAUAACGAAAUUAAUAUACGUUCAAGGUAUAAAAGUGACAUAUUUCAAAGCAAAAAAAAAUAUCAAGAACCAAUUUUUGGAUGACAAUGAUAAGCACACUUGUGCACGUAUAACAAGAAUGAGAGUCAAUAGAUAAAAUGCAAAACAAAGACACCCACUUACAUGUCUCGUGAUUUAUGUUUAAAUUAAGAAUGAGUAAAGGUAAAAGGAAGAAGGCCAUAUUCAAUUAAUUAAUGCGAGAACAAACAACACAAACUUGCAAAAGUAAAGGGAUGAGGCAAUAAGAAAAAUAACCAUGACUUCUAAAAUCGAAAAAACAUAGACACUAAUCUAUAUAACAAAAUAAAAUAAAGGCUAACUUUUCAAGAAAGGGAAUUUUUAAAUUUCAAUUAAGGCGACAUUAACGAAGAUUCAUACAUCUAAAUUACAACCAACAUUUUAGGGGAAAACGUGUAACGGCCUAUGGUUUAUCUUUUUAAGACAUCGUUGAUUUUCUUUUGAUAUUACACACACAAAGAGCACAUAUAACAAUCCAAAGGGAGUAAGAAAAUUAGAAUAAAAGUUUAGCAUUUAUAAAAGUGAAAUAUCGUUCAACAAUCAUACUAUGUAUGACUCGAAAAAAUCUCAAUAAUUCUACUUAGCCACAAAAGCCCAAACUUUCUCAUUAUUUUGACAAGUCAACAUGCGAAAAAAAAAGAAUAAACAUGUUGGAUGAAAAAUAGCUAGGACUUCAUCUCUCAUAUGAGAAUUUUGAAAUCCAUUAAAAUAAUUAGCAUGCAAAUGACAAGUUCUUAACUUAACCAAUUACUAUUUUACUAAGGCAAAACAAACAAUAGUUACUAUUCUUUUGACAAAAAGAAAACAACUUUACAUGCUAAAAAUAAAUAUAUCUGCCGACAAUGAAUUUAAACAAAGUAUAAGAACGCCUUUUAAACAAAGAUUGAAACUUUAUCCAUAAUAAUCAAAGAAUACAGUCAAAAAGGAGAAACAAUCAAUAUUAUCUAUUCUUUUCAAUAUAAAGGAAACAACUUUACAUGCUAAAACAAACAUAUCCAUUAACAAUGAAUUUAAACAAAGCAUAAGUACAUAUUUUAAGCAAAGAUUGAAACUUUAUCUAUAAUAAUCAAAGAAUACAGUCAAAAAGGAGAAACAAUCAAUAUUAACUAGUCAUUUCAACAUAAAUGAAACAACUUUAUAUGCUAAAAAUAAAUAUAUCCGCCAACAAUUAAUUUAAACAAACCAUAAGUACAUCUUUUAAGCAAAGAUUGAAACUUUAUCUAUAAUAAUCAAAGAAUAAAGUAAAAAAAGCACGUACAACUAUUACUAACUCAUUUUUAUACCAUGCACAAGAAAAUAAUCAUAAUAUCGAUACCAAAACGUCCUAUGGCCUUCAGGGCCCUCUACAACAAACAAUCUCAGCAAACAAAAAUAUUACUACGAAUUACAAAGAAAAAAAAGAUGAAGAAGAAAACGAUAAUAAAACUAAAAAAAGGGAAAGGUGUGUUUACCUUUUUAGGGCAGAAAAAUGGGGCUACAAUCUUUCUUCGGAGUCAUGAUCACCAUCGAAAAACGUUCAACUCGAGAACUUCGAUUAGCCCACGAAUUUCAUGGAAAAGGAAAUUUUUUACUAAAAUAAAAACUCCUCUUUGCUCAAAGUUGUUUUUUUCAACCUUGAGACUUGAUCUUUCUAUCAAAAUAGUGGUAGUAUUUAUAGAAAUGGGUGGGGAUUCAAUUCUUUUCAUCCACCAAUGUGGGAGAGAGAAUUUAGGAGUGUUUUUGAAAUUUUAAAAUUAAAGAUAAGGUGAGGUGGAAGAUAAGGUGGGAAAAAUUGUACAAUGUAGUACAAUUUUUAAAUUUCAAAAUUGAAAAAAAAAAUAAGGUUGAGGGGGGAAUUAUACAAUGUAGUAUAAUUUUUUAAUUUCAAAAUUUGAAUUUGAAAAUAGAACAAGGUUGGGAGGGAAUUGUACAAUGUAGUACAAUUUUUGAAUUUCAAAAUUGAAAAAUGAACAAAGUUGAGGUGGAAAUCGUACAAUGUAGCAUAAUUUUUGAAUUUUAAAAUUUGAGUGUUAAAAAAGGACAAGGUUGAGGGGAAA